UACGGAGGGUGCAAGCGUUAUCCGGAUUCACUGGGUUUAAAGGGAGCGUAGGAGGGCAGGUAAGUCAGUGGUGAAAUCUUCGAGCUUAACUCGGAAACUGCCGUUGAUACUAUCUGUCUUGAAUACCGUGGAGGUGAGCGGAAUAUGUCAUGUAGCGGUGAAAUGCUUAGAUAUGACAUAGAACACCAAUUGCGAAGGCAGCUUGCUACACAACUAUUGACUCUGAUGCACGAAAGCGUGGGGAUCAAACAGG
rnacentral:rRNA from 1 species